rfam:Picea glauca, whole genome shotgun sequence.
UAAGUGGGCUUGAUUGUGGCGAAAACUCCAUAGUUAAGCGCGCUUGAGCCAGAGGCGUCUUGGGAUGGGUGACCACCUGGGAAGUCCUGGUUACCGGGUGCA